GGCCAAACCUGUGAUGGUACCACUAGACUUGAUGUAGUCAUUCUGGAUAACAGGGAAUUCUGCUUGAUGAUUAGGGCUGGUUAGCAUUCUUGAAGCAGAGAUGAAAGCAUUUUGAAGAAUGUCCAACCAGGAGAAGCAUGUGGAGAAACUGGAGAUAGAGCAUCGAGCAGCAAUCAUAUUUUGCUUAAGGAAGUUCACUGCAUACACUUGUUCCCAAGGCAUAACAGCACAUAUUAUUUGAUGAACAUGCUGGAGAGGAAACAUGAAUCUUUGAGUACGGGGUUGGAGAGGAGCAAUCCUAGCAGUUCCCGACCUGUACCUUUCCAAGUUGGUGUCAUAUGAUCACGAGAGUCUCCCAGAAGCUGAAAUCCUCAGAAAGAACUGCAGCUGGUACUUAGAGUCUUCCAGCCCACAGUGGAAUCUCCCCACCACCUGUCUCCCUUGUUUCUCCCACUCUGUGCACCGUCCCUCUACUUGGAGUCUCCACCGUGAGUAUGCUGCUUAAAUAGAUAGAACUAGUAUCUAUGUGUGGGCAUUGCUGGUAGAAUUUCUCCUAUAACCUAAGAA
rnacentral:lncRNA from 1 species